AACGUAGGAGGCGAGCGUUAUCCGGAUUUACUGGGCGUAAAGCGCACGCAGGUGGCUUCGUUAGUCGGAUGUGAAAGCUCCUGGCUUAACUGGGAGAGGCCAUUCGAUACUGCGGGGCUUGAGGUUGGGAGAGGGGUGUGGAAUUCCCGGUGUAGUGGUGGAAUGCGUAGAUAUCGGGAGGAACACCUGUGGCGAAAGCGACACCCUGGCCCACACCUGACGCUGAGGUGCGAAAGCGUGGGUAGCAAACAGGAUUAGAUACCCUGGUAGUCCACGCUGUAAACGAUGUCAACUGGGUGUCGGUGGUUUUACACUAUCGGUGCCGAAGCUAACGCGUUAAGUUGACCGCCUGGGGACUACGGCCGCAAGGCUA
rnacentral:rRNA from 1 species